ACUACGGGUGGCAGCAGUGGGGGAUAUUGCACAAUGGGGGAAACCCUGAUGCAGCGACGCCGCGUGUGGGCAGACGGUCCUCUGGAUUGUACACCACUGUCCCCAGGGACGAAGAUGACGGUACCUGGGGAGGAAGCUCCGUCUAACUACGUGACAGCAGCCGCGGUAAUACGUAGGGAGCGAGCGUUGUCCGGAAUUACUGGGUGUAAAGGGAGCGUAGGCGGGACUGCAAGUUGGGUGUAAAAUCUACCGGCUCAACCGGUAGCCGCACUCAAAACUGCAGUUCUUGAGUGAAGUAGAGGCAGGCGGAAUUCCUAGUGUAGCGGUGAAAUGAGUAGAUAUUAGGAGGAACACCAGUGGCGAAGGCGGCCUGCUGGGCUUUUACUGACGCUGAGGCUCGAAAUUGUGGGGAGCAAACAGGAUUAGAUACCCUUGUAGUC
rnacentral:rRNA from 1 species